UUGCUAGUAAUCACAGGUCAGCAUACUGUGGUGAAUACGUUCCCGGGCCUUGUACACACCGCCCGUCACACCAUGAGAGUUGAGAAUACCCGAAGCCCAUGUCAAAGUGGUCGAAGGUAGGCUUGAUGAUUGGGGUGAAGUCGUAACAAGGUAUC
rnacentral:rRNA from 1 species